UUGAGUUAAUUUUCGCAAUUUGGCAAAUGCAAAAACCAAGAUUGCAGACGACAAAUUCAGCGAACGUCUUUUUUCUUUUUCAAUUUUUGAGAGUGAUAAAAAACUAGAAAUCAUAGAUAAAACAUCAAAAGGAAAUAGUUUGUGCACUUCACAACAGACAUGUGCUAUUCUGGCAGGUAUGUUUGCCUUCAUUUUGUGAACCUGAGUGUGAAUCAUUUUGCAGUGUACGAAGCUGGCAGAGGCAGACACAGACCUUGGUUUUUUCCUUGUCAGAGGCCAGGCUGAGGCCACGAUGGCCAAAUUAGAAUAAAACUUGGAAGAAAAUGAUGAAGGCAUCUUGCAGAGAGUUCUUGUCCAACAUCAUCCAUGUGAACAAGUCACCUGGUGGUUUAUCGUUGGUGAAGAACUUAAACACUCCAAUAGAGAAUCCAAUGAAACUGAAUCGUCAACCAAAUAUCAUCAAGUUUACUGUCUUGUUUAAGGCUUUUUCGAAAAACCAGAUGAUUUAAUUUAACCAUUACCCUGGUUACGUGACCGACAAAACGAUGGGAAGUAGAUCAUUAAAAUAAAAGCCAACGCGCGUCCCAUCGUCGAUCAUUGGCGCACAUUCAAUCGAGUCGCCGGAACAGAAAAUUUCGUAAAAAAAGAAGAAAAAAAAGACCAAA